rnacentral:rRNA from 1 species
GGCGACCGCUAUUGGAGUUCGAUUAAGACAUGCGAGUCAGAGCACUAGCUCGGCAUACCGCUCAGUAACACGUGGGUAACCUGCCCUAUUGUUUCGAAUAACCUCGGGAAACUGAGAACAACACGAUAUAGUCCACUACGCCUGGAACGGUGAGUGGAUAAAGAUAGGAUGGGCCUGCGGCGUAUCAGGUCGUAGGGGGUGUAAAGGACCUCCUAGCCAUCGACGCGUACGGGUGUUGGGAGACAUAGCCCGGAGAUGGAUUCUGAGACACGAAUCCAGGCCCUACGGGGCGCAGCAGUUACGAAAACUUGGCAAUGCGGGAAACCGUGACCAGGGAACUCCAAGUGGCUGUCCUUUUGGGCAGUCUUUUCUUGACUCUAAAACGGUCUUGGAAUAAGGGGUGGGUAAGGACGGUGCCAGCCGCCGCGGUAAUACCGGCGCCUCAAGUGGUCGUCGCUUUUAUUGGGCCUAAAACGUCCGUAGCCGGUUUGGUACAUUCGUGGGUAAAUCAGCUCGCUCAACGAGCUGAAUUCUGCGAGCACGGCCAGACUAGGGACCGGGAGAGGUGUGGGGAACUCUCAGGGUAGGGGUAAAAUCCUGUCAUCCUGAGAGGACCACCUGUUGCGAAGGCGCCACACUAGAACGGAUCCGACGGUCAGGGACGAAGCCUAGGGGCACGAACCGGAUUAGAUACCCGGGUAGCCCUAGGUGUAAACGCUGUGGACUUGGUGUUGGGGGCGCUCCGAGCGCUCUCAGUGCCGUAGCGAAGGUGUUGAGUCCACUGCCUGGGGAGUACGGUCGCAAGGCUGAAACUUAAAGGAAUUGGCGGGGGAGCACUGCAACCGGAGGAUUGUGCGGUUU